CUCCCCAGGGAAUCCUCUCUGAUAUAAUCCUAUACUGUACAUAGGAAGCAUAACCAGCAAGUGCAUGACCUGGAGGACAAUGAUUUUUGUUGCUAAACCAUAACUGUGGGUAUAGGAAGCACUGAAGACCAGUGGCCAAUUGCCUGGAUUUUGGGAAUCUAGUGGCCUGACCUUAGUGUCUGAAACCUCUGCUUGCUGGGCUCCUGAUUCUAAAAGGAUAAAAUGAGAUAAAGCAACUAAAGUCUUAGUGCCCUGCCUGGCAUACAGUAAAUGUGGAGACAUCUCUGAAAGCCAGGAUUGAUGGCUGCAAGAAACAGAAGAUGCACUUCAACUGUACACAUUUACUGACUGAUCAGCUUUGCAUGACCUUCAUAUAAAACCCAAAGGCUAUGAUAUAUGGAUGCUUCUAAUAAGCCAAAGAUAAAAGUGGUUUGAACCAAAAAGCACCUAUUUUCUCAAAGAUGCACAUUAAGACUGCAGCUGUCAACAAGGGGAUAAAGUAGAGCCCAAGCGACAGAAAAUAUAAAGGAGGCAG